ensembl:lncRNA
AUUUGUUUAAAAGGAGCAACCAAAGAAGCCUGCCAGAUACAGCAUAAGGGAUAUUAUGCUAGGGCUUAUACCAGCCAUUAGUUCUGAUUACUGGGGAGCUUUUGAGGCGCAAAAUGGCCGUGAUGAUUGGAAUCGCUUUCAGAGUUUCUUGGCUUUGUUGCCUGCUAAUUGUCGGGAUAACCUGUUCUACAUCAACCUGGCAUUUUACCUUUUCUCUUUAUCUAACCUAGGUGAUGGGUAUCCUGCACCAGGUUCUGAUGCAGCAUGGCUCUAUACAGGCCCACUUAGGUCUAAAGGAUAUGGUAAUUACAACUCUCCAACAGCUCAAUUGCAAGCGCAGCUGACCGAAGAACAACAUACACAUCUGGAAGCCAUCCUUCAAAAGCAACUGGCCCCCAUGCCCCAGGCACCUCAGAAAAUGUGGUAUCCAAUGCACAUUCCCCAGCAGCAACAGGAAUCCAGCUCAAAUGCCCCAGCAGCAGGAAAAGCAACCGGCCGCCAUGACCCAACAGCAGACGCUACCGGCCAGUUAUCCUAAGCAGCCUCAAGCAAUGUUGUAUCCAGCUCAAAUAACCCAGAAGCAACCAGUUACUGAACUUCAGCAUCAGAAGGAACAGGCCUCCAUACCCCAGCUACCUCAGCAAGUGUGGUAUCCAGUUCAAAUUCCUCAGCAGCAAAAGCAACCAGCUACUGGUCCUCAGCAGCAGACGGAACUGACCACCAUGCCCCAGAAGCAACCGGCUCCAAUGCCUAUACCGCAGAAACAACCAACAGCUAUGCCCCAGAAAGCAUGGUAUCCAGCUCAAAUGCAGCAGAAGCAACCGGCCACCAUGCAGCAGCAAGUGUGGCAUCCAGCUCAAUUGCCCCAGCAGCAAAAGCAACCGGCUACUGAACCUCAGCAGCAGAAGAAACCGGCCUCCAUAACCCAGCAACCUCAGCAAGUGUUGCAUCCAGCUCAAAUGCUGCUGAAGCAACUGACUGCCAUGCCCCAGCAAGUGUGGUAUCCAGCUAAGCCCCAGAAGCAACUGGCCGCUGAUCCUCAGGAGCAGAUUGAACUGACCGCCAUGCCCCAGCAACCUCAGCAAGUGUGGUAUCCAGCUCAAAUGCCCCAGAAGCAACCAACCGCUGAACCUCAGUGGCAUCCAGCCAAAUUUCCCCAGGAGCAACCCGUCCCUAUGCGUCAACUGCAGAAGGAACUGACCGCCAUUCCACCACAACUGUGGCAAUCCGCUCAAAUUCCCCAGCAGCAUAAGCAACCGGCUGCCAAGCUUCAGCAAGUGUGGCAACUGGCCCCCAUUCCCCAGCAGCCUCAUGACUUGUGGUAUCCAGCUAAAAUGGUCCAGAAGCAGCUGCAACUCGGCAGUAGGAACUGACCACCAUGCCUCAAGAGUGACAUCCAGCUCAAUUUCCCCAGCAGCAGAAACAACCAGCCCUAAGGCUUUCACCGCAGAAGGAACUGACCGCCAUACACCAGCAACCUCAGCAAGUGUGGUGUAUCCAGCUAAAAUGCCCCAGAACCAACCAACCACUGAACCCCAGCAGCAGAAGCAACCGACCACCUUGGCCAAGCAAAUGUUGUCUCAAGCUCAAAAGCCCCAGCUGCAGAAGCAACCGGCCGCUGAACCUCAGCAGCAAAUUGAACUGACCGCCAUGCCCCAGCCACCUCAGCAAUUGUGGCAUCCAGAUCAAUUUCUCCAGGAGCAGAAGCAACGAUUCACUAUGCAUCUACCACAGAAGGAACUGACCGCCAAUCCACCACAACUGUGGCAAUCCGCUCAAAUGCCCCAGCAGCAUAAGCAACCGGCUGCCAUGCUUCAGCAAGUGUGGCAUCGGGCACAGAAGCAACCGGCCCCUAUGCCCCAGCAGCCUCACGACGUGUGGUAUCCAGCUAAAACGGUCCAGAAGCAAGUCGCUGCGGUGACCGCCAUGCCGCAUACGCAUCAGCAAGUAUGGCAUCCAGCUGAAUUUCCCCAGCAGCAGAAGCAACCGGCCUCCACGCCUCUACCGCAGGAGCAACCGACCGCCGUACCCCAGCAAGUGUGGUAUCCAGCUCAAAUGUCACGGCAGCAACUGGCCUCCAUGCCUCUACCGCAGAAGCGACUGACCGACGUGCCUCAGCAAGAGUGGCAACCAGCUCAAAUACAGCAGAAGCAACCGGCUGCUGAACCGCAGCAGAACGAACCGGCCACCAUACCCCAGCAAGUGGGGUAUCCAGCUCAAAUGCCCCAGAAGCAACUGGCCCCAAUGUCCAUGCCCCAGCAGAAUCACUACGAAAGCACUGAAGAUGGUGCCUCUAGUAGCACUCAGGCCAGCAUCGUUGAACAGUCGGGUGUCAUCCCAAUCUAUUCCUACAGUUCCAAAUCGCACUACGAGAAUGGCAGGACUGUAUUCUCCUUAACCCGCUACACUCCUAGGGAGGCUAUGCUUGUUCACAUUGGAAAUGCUCCCAAGGACAGUUUUGUUCGUACUGGUGCACCAAGCGCAUAUCCAUCACUAGUGAAAGAUUCUGCAAGGUAAUGGUUCACUUUAACCUGCUCUGAACUUUGCUCUCUGAAUUUGAAGUCCUUUGUACUAACCAUAUCUUUCAACAAGAAAAUGUAAUGGAUUCAUCCUCUAGAAGCUAAUGGUGAGAAUUGUUUUUGACAUUGGUUACUUAACAUUCUGUGUUGCUGACACUGCAUUUCUUUCUGCUUUUGUUUCGACCAGGAAGUGUCUGGUGCUCUUGCUACUCUAGCGUGAGGGAGUACAUGAACAGUUCUACUUUAAAAAAUGCCCUGUCUCUGUGAAAUAAUGGUUCUCGUGUCCAUUGCUUGCUAAUUGAGAACAGGUGGUGUGCAGUCUGUAGUAAAAAUGACUGCUCAGUUAAUUCUUUGGUUUUUCUAGUCUUUUACCUUUGCUACUGGUUGUUCAAAAUAAAAGCUUGGGUCUACAUUUGUCAAGGGGUGAGUUGUCAGACAUUCUUCAUAUGUUCAUACUUUAGAUGUAGGCAUGCAUUGUAUACAGUGAGACUUUCUUCAAAUCAAAUUUAUUUAUAUAGCCCUUCAUUACAUAAGCUGACAUCUCAAAGUGCUGUACAGAAACCCCAAACAGCAAGCAAUGCAGGUGUAGAAGCACAGUGGCUAGGAAAAACUCCCUAGAAAGGCCAAAACCUAGAGGAACCAGGCUAUGUGGGGUGGCCAGUCCUCUUCUGGCUGUGCCGGGUGGAGAUUAAAACAGAACAUGGCCAAGUUGUUCAAAUGUUCAUAAAUGACCUCAGUAAGUUAACAUAUAGGGAAUGUUUUUUAGAUGGUCAGACCAUGACUCAUCACCAUGGCUCAUUUAGCUACUAGAAUUGAGUGACGAGUUGGUGUUUAACUUGCAUUUCGCCUCAUACUAUAGCCCAUACCACAAAUGGCAAAGAGUAAAAUCAGUUUAGGAGUGUCUGUUCCAUAUCUAGUUGACUCAAAUGUUAUUUUGGAUGCUUCUACCUCCAUAUUUCUGUUUGUAUGGGUUACCUGUCUUACAAUUGUGGGGUUAUAGAGGGAAACGUAACUAUGUUCGGGAGUCAAUUUCCCAUAAUGGUCAGUUUGUAGGCCAAACCGUUCUGAAGCUAUAGAUGUUUUUGAGACUGCAUUUUUGGGGUGUCUGACCAACACCACUGUAGCUCGGCCCCUGUCCACUGCAGAUGCGUAAGGGUGACAGGCGGCUGCAGUGGCUUGAGACGCAGCCCAUUCUAAAUGUUCUAGCUUCAACUGGAUUUUGAUUGGCCUUUUACUUUGACUGCCUCAAUACUCUUCACCUGUAUCCCAUUCCUCCUAGUCCAUUUAUUGUACCACAGGCUCCUAUGGAAUGGUUUCGGUGUAUUUGAUUUCUACAAUGCCUGGAACGGUUUAACCGAUCAAUUAACAAAUAUAUUCUGUACAGACUGUCUUUAAACAUGCACAUUUUUCUUAACCAAUUAUUAAUCGAACUGCGUAGUAUGAGAAUUAGGCCCUUAAAUUAGGCCCUUGGACCCAUUAAGUUCCAAAGAGGAAGCUGGUAGGCACUAACAUGACAGUUUAGCUAGCAUAAGAUGUCACCCAGGACUUUUGGACAACUUGACAUAUUUGCCUGUUGUAGUUGACUCUGUUUGGCCAGACUCAUGAACAUGA